GUGGGGAAUAUUGGACAAUGGGGGGAACCCUGAUCCAGCCAUGCCGCGUGUGUGAAGAAGGCCUUUUGGUUGUAAAGCACUUUAAGCGAGGAGGAGGCUACCGAGAUUAAUACUCUUGGAUAGUGGACGUUACUCGCAGAAUAAGCACCGGCUAACUCUGUGCCAGCAGCCGCGGUAAUACAGAGGGUGCAAGCGUUAAUCGGAUUUACUGGGCGUAAAGCGCGAGUAGGUGGCCAAUUAAGUCAAAUGUGAAAUCCCCGAGCUUAACUUGGGAAUUGCAUUCGAUACUGGUUGGCUAGAGUAUGGGAGAGGAUGGUAGAAUUCCAGGUGUAGCGGUGAAAUGCGUAGAGAUCUGGAGGAAUACCGAUGGCGAAGGCAGCCAUCUGGCCUAAUACUGACACUGAGGUGCGAAAGCAUGGGGAGCAAACAGGAUUAGAUACCCGGGUAGUCC
rnacentral:rRNA from 1 species